CGAGGACACGCUGGCGGCGUGCUUAACACAUGCAAGUCGAGCGAGAAAGCCCCUUCGGGGUGAGUACAGCGGCGAACGGGUGAGUAACACGUGGGCAACCUGCCCCGGAGACUGGGAUAACGUCCCGAAAGGGACGCUAAUACCGGAUGAUGCGUGACCUGCCAAGUGGGUCACGUCAAAUGGUAGCCUCGGCCUCUGCUCCGGGAUGGGCCCGCGCCGGAUUAGCUUGUUGGUGAGGUAACGGCUCACCAAGGCGACGAUCCGUAGCUGGUCUGAGAGGACGAUCAGCCACACUGGGACUGAGACACGGCCCAGACUCCUACGGGAGGCAGCAGUGGGGAAUCCUGCGCAAUGGGCGAAAGCCUGACGCAGCAACGCCGCGUGAGCGAAGACGGCCUUCGGGUUGUAAAGCUCUGUCAGGAGGGACGAAGCCACUCGGGUGAACAGCCCAGAGGGUGACGGUACCUCCACAGGAAGCCCCGGCUAACUACGUG
rnacentral:rRNA from 1 species